UGUUUCUUUUGCUGAAAUUGACUAAUGUAUUGCAAAUUGAGUGAGAUAUACUAGUAAUUUACCAAUAUUCUCAAAAAUAAAACUUGAAAUUCUCAUUUUACAAUGAACUCUCGGAGCCAAAAUCGUUUGAAAGAGUAGCGAGCAGAGCACUGAAAAUCAUUUGAUGGAGAACUAGAGUCCAACCGAAACCAAUGAAACCAAUUCACUUCAAUUUCCGCCGCCACUUCGCCACCAAAUACACCGCAAAAAUCACCUCCACCUCCCCCACCGGCCGUUCCCUAGCCGCAGAAGUAACCCCACCGCCACCACUCCCCUCCGACAUCCGAGGCUACUCCCUCCCCCGCCAUGACCUAGUCUGCAAAGCCACUCAAAUCCUCCUCUCCACCACAAACCCCCAUUCCACCAAACAAACCACUCUCCACGACCCGUUCUCCGACCUCUCCGAAUAUCUCCAAUCUCUCUCCAUCUCCCUAACUCCUCUAGAAGCUUCCGAAAUUCUCAAAUCACUCAAAAACCCUUCCCUCGCUCUCAAAUUCUUCCACUUUUGCCCCUCCCUUUCGCCCAAUUUCCGUCAUGACUCCUUCACCUAUAACCGAAUGUUCCUUAUUCUCUCCCUCUCGUCUUCCCCUCUUCGAUUCGAUCAAACCGAAUCCCUUCUCGAUGAUAUGGAGCGGCGCGGCCUGCGUGGCUCUAUCUCAACCGUUAAUAUUCUUAUUGGAUUUUUCGGUGAUUUGGAUCGUUGUGUUGGGUUGGUUAAGAAAUGGGAGCUUAGACUUAAUGCUUAUACUUAUAAGUGUUUGCUUCAAGCUUAUUUGAGGCUACGUGAUUCUGAUAAGGCUUUUGAUGUUUAUUUGGAUAUGUUGAGACGUGGUUAUCAAUUGGAUAUUUUUGCUUAUAACAUGCUUUUGGAUGCUUUGGCUAAGGAGAAUAAGGUAGAUCAAGCAUAUAAAGUUUUUGAGGACAUGAAACGAAGGCAUUGUGAGCCUGAUACGUUCACCUACACCAUUAUGAUCAGAAUGACUGGGAAAUCCGGCAAAACAAACGAGGCGCUAGCACUCUUUCAGGUGAUGUUAGAAAAGGGAUUCACUCCGAAUUUGAUUGCUUAUAAUACUAUGAUUGAGGCACUUGCCAAGGGGCGGAUGGCAGACAAGGCUGUCCUACUCUUCUCAAAAAUGGUGGAGAAUGAUUGUCAGCCUAAUGAAUUUACGUACAGUGUGCUUUUGAAUGUUCUGGUUGCUGAAGGACAGCUUCAUAAGCUUGACUAUAUUGUAGAGAUAUCAAAAAAAUAUAUGAAUAAGCAGAUAUAUGCUUAUUUUGUAAGGACUUUAAGCAAAUUGGGUCAUUCCUCUGAAGCACAUAGGCUAUUUUGCAACAUGUGGAACUUCCAUGACAAGGGUGAUAAAGAUGCUUACAUGUCCAUGCUGGAGAGUUUAUGCAGUAGUGGUAAAAUGACAGAAGCAAUAGAUCUUCUUAAUAGAUUUCAUGAAAAGUGUAUAACCAGUGAUACUAUCAUGUAUAAUACAGUAUUCACGGCUCUUGGCAAGUUGAAACAAGUAUCACAUAUCUAUGACCUUUACGAAAAGAUGAAACGCGACGGCCCUCCUCCCGAUAUAUUCACAUACAAUAUUCUGAUUUCCAGCUACGGGAGAGCUGGAAGAGUUGACAGUGCUGUUAAAAUUUUCGAAGAGCUAGAGAAUAGUAAUUGUGAUCCCGAUGUCAUUUCCUAUAACAGUUUGAUCAACUGCCUCGGAAAGAAUGGAGAUGUUGAUGAAGCUCACAUGAGAUUCAAAGAGAUGCAAGAGAAAGGACUAAAUCCUGAUGUUGUAACUUAUAGUACACUUAUUGAGUGCUUUGGCAAGACUGAUAAAGUUGAAAUGGCGUGUAGCUUGUUCGAUGAAAUGAUUGCUGAAGAAUGCUCUCCUAACUUAGUAACAUAUAAUAUUUUACUCGAUUGUCUUGAAAGGUCUGGAAGAACUGCCGAGGCAGUGGACCUUUAUGCAAAACUGAAGCAACAAGGGCUGACACCAGAUUCAAUAACAUAUGCAGUGCUUGAGCGCUUGCAAAGUGGUAGACACGGGAAGUUGAGAAUUCGCAGACAGAAUCCAAUUACAGGAUGGGUUGUUAGCCCUUUGUGAUGAUAUAGAACACUUUGCUAUACAUUCAUUCGGCAGAAAUUCCUUUUUGUUAGGCCUUCUGAGGGUUCUUUGUCUAAAGCUACUAUAGCUGUGUUGUUGAGGUGAAGAAGAUAUAUGAUUAUAGCCAUUUGGUCCGCGUUGACACUCUUGUUGGUCGGCAACAUACUCAAGUUUUUCUGCAUUGGGAUUUGUGGCUUGCAUCAUGGUAGUUCAAUGAAAAGAUGCUUGAUGUCAGUGUCUGUGUAAGUGCUUCACAGGUUUGUGGAUCAACAAAUGAGAUCACAUAUAUGUUACUAAUAAUGAAGUAGUUUAUUGGUCACUUACCUUGAUGAGGUAAUCCAUCUCAAUGAACUUGAAGUGAAAGCCAAUGCUGCCAAAAAGGGGAGCCACAAAAGCACAUGCACGGGAAAAAGCAGCAACCUCAAUCACAUUUUCAGAGAUGAUAACGUCUGCGAGCUCUUUGAACGCAUCUGCAAUUUUGCCAAGAGGUUUUUCAUCGACGGCUGUUGUGGAAGCCACCCUGCUUCUUCUUCUUACGAUCUCCUCCUCCGCGUUGUUGUCAGCAUGAUCAUGUACCAAUUGCUGCUGCUCUUUCCUUGCAGUGGCAGAAAAGCACCUCAGAAAAAUACCAAGUGCUUUGGGCACUUUUCUUUGACGUCCAUGUUGUACAUUAUCUGCCAUAGUAUGGAAGAAAGAAUAAUAAGAUUAUACUUCUUAGUCCUUGGUGUAUAUAUAUUGUGUAUGUGUGAAUGUGUUGAGGAGUUCAAAUUGGAAUCAAUUUGAAGAAAGAUUUCUUUGAA